CAGAUCUCUCUUCUAGUUCCAUCCUCUUUCCUCCAAUAAAGAGGUUGGGGCCAUGUAACUAAUGUAGCCAAACAUAAAAAUACAUUUCUCAGAAAAUAACAGUUACUGUUCUUUUGUUCAGUCUUUAUACAUUUCUGCAGAAUCUUGUCUCUCUUUUUCUCUGUGUGAUGUAAUCAGACUCACCAUACAGGAAGUAGAGCGGUUUGUCAGAAGAACUGUAGUGGGACAGAAUGGAGAACACCGUGCUCUGUGUGCUACUCUAAACCUGUUCUGACCAUCCAGCCCAACAGCACUCUGUACCCUGGAGAGACAGUUACACUGAUGGUUACUCUUACUGUCCCUCCAGGUUCCGUUGUCUCCAUCUCUCUGCCCAGGCUGCUGUUUGGUGUACUGGUGAUGUCUCCCUUUCUACUGGUGUCCAUCAUGAGGAUGGCGAAAUGCUGCAGGGCUCGAGGUUUGUGUUCAACAGUCAAAUCUCCUCAAGACCAGAUACCAUGUGAUGAUGUCAUUAAACAGAACGUAUCAUCCGUGUGAUCAUUACAGUACAAACUGUAAGCUGAACAACCACUUUUAUGAUUGUAAAGUUUUUACCAUUGAUAUAGGAUAGUGUUUACUGAGUUUAAUAUCACUGAAUGGAAUUACACAAAUGCUGAAUGUUAUGAUUUUGUAAGUUGACGAUUUCAGCUUUUGGUGGAUUGUAUACUUUCCUUUGUUAUUGAUGAUUGAUGUAGAUUUUUCUUCAAAUAUUACACUUAUCUGUCUUUAUUUCAGUUUCAGUUGCAUGCCUUUUACAUGCAGGUGGAUAUAUACAGUAUGUGAAUCUUUUCAGUUUUUAUUCUAAUUUAAAAUACUAAAGAUGUGUUUAUAGCUGGUUGGUCAACCUACUAUAACAGUUAAGAUGGAACACGUAGCUAUAGUUUGUUAUUAAAAAUGUAUAUUUGCAUAAUGCAGCUUUUAUACUUAUUAUUAUAUAAAAGGUAGACUCAGCGAAAUUACGUUGCCAAGAGUAGCACUACAGAUAUUGAGAUGAGCGAGAUGCAGGACUUCACUCUCACAGUCACAGACAGUAUCUGCCCACAUGCACGGGUUCACUUCACGGUGUUCACAGUCUGGUAGUCUCCGGACCAAAACAGAGGAGAAGUUGAGCCUCAUGCUUCAACGUUCUUAGUUGUUCUGGAAAUUGAAUCACUCCGCAGUUUACUUUCUACAUCUACGUCAAAUUGCCGAGUCUACCUUUAAACUCCACUUAAUUUUGACUUAUUUUCAUUUUCAAAUACUGUCUAAGUAUUUUGUAAAAAAAAAAGUUUUACAGCAGAAAUACAUUUCCAACAUGUAAGUAUUUUGUAAAAUGGUUUCAGUAGUUGUUUUAGGAGCCAGAUGGGUGUUCCACUAUGGAACUUAAAAUGGAGAAGGUAUGAUGUGUUUUGUAUUAAUUCUCAUAUAUCAAAUAAAAAGUGAU